rnacentral:lncRNA from 1 species
GGCGAAGACGGUGGCCGGCGACGAGGCUUUGGGCCAGAGGAGAAAGGGAAGAGGGAGAGGAAGAAGGGGAGGGGCUUACCUUGCUCCGGCGGUUGAGAAAAGCUCCGGCGAACCCCUUUUUCCCAUCAAGAACCUGCGGAUCCUCUUAGAAGAAUCCCUCAAAUUUCUAAAAAAAUCUUUCCAAAACUAAUUGUAGAGACAUAAGGGAGGGAAAGAGGAUUUUAUAGAGGUGAUUUCCUACCCCUAAUCGGACUCUAUCGAUCCGAUUUUGCCGGAGACGGGAAGGAAGAAGACUCCGGCUAGGAGUCUUCCUCCUCUGUUUUUUAUUU